UACGUAGGGUGCGAGCGUUAAUCGGAAUUACUGGGCGGAAAGCGUGCGCAGGCGGUUUUGUAAGCCAGAUGUGAAAUCCCCGGGCUUAACCUGGGAAUGGCAUUUGGGACUGCAAGGCUUGAGUGCGGCAGAGGAGACUGGAAUUCCUGGUGUAGCAGUGAAAUGCGUAGAUAUCAAGAGGAACACCUGAGGUGAAGACGGGUUGCUGGGCCGACACUGACGCUGAUAGCGCGAAAGCCAGGGGAGCAAACGGG
rnacentral:rRNA from 1 species